CAUGCUUAAACCGUUGUUGGUUUAAGUAGGAAUUCCAUGUUUUUUACAAAUACUGAUCCGGAUUUUUAUAUAUGCUUUAUUUUGUGGAAACCAAAGCCAUCAUUUUAAAUACCAGGUUUAAGAAAAGCAUGGAGAAAGGUGGAAAUGUAUGCUACUAUUAUUAUAACUUCAACUUGAGCUCAUUCCAGAAAUCCAGAAGUAAGAAACAAAGUUUCUCCUAACUUUCCCCAAAGCGACCAUCCGUUAAAGAAG